rnacentral:rRNA from 1 species
GCCAGCAGCCAGAUCAGCCUGCAACUCACCACUGGCAGCCCACUGGAGCCCAGCAGGUGUGAGCCUGGUCAGUACCUGGAUGGGAGACCUCCUGGGAAAAACUAAGGCUGCUGCUGGAA